rnacentral:misc_RNA from 1 species
UCCGGUUUGGCACCGGCAGUCUCCGAUGAGUCCCUGGCUUUACCCGCUGGCAACAUCGAACAGGGGUUGCGCUCGUUGCGCCACUUAAGGCAACACCUCACGACACGAGCUGACGACAGCCAUGCAGCACCUGUGCAAAUUGUCUCUUUCGAGACUCGCUGGCUUUCACCAACUUAGAGAUGCAUGUCAAGGCCAGGUAAGGUUCUUCGCGUUGCAUCGAAUUAAGCCACAUACUCCACCGCUUGUGCGGGCCCCCGUCAAUUUCUUUGAGUUUUAAUCUUGCGACCGUACUCCCCAGGCGGCACGUUUAACGCGUUAGCUCCGGCGCGGAAGGGGUCGAAUCCCCCCACACCAAACGUGCACCGUUUACUGCCAGGACUAC